UGAGACCUCUUCUGAUAACCUGAAUAAGGCAAAAAAAAAAGAAAAAAACGGUCUUAGAGAGCAGUACAGGUGGUCUUGGGCCUCAUGCUUUACCUGUGCCUCACAAUUAUUUUGAUCCUUGCAAUUAAUGGCGUGUGUGCCCCAGGACUGUGCCAGACUUGAGAAGUGACUCCUUGAUCUUGCUGAUGAAUGAGCAUCUUGGGACGGGAGAGGAGCCAUGAAAGGCUUUCUAUGCCAGGGUGCUUUUGCAGAGCUGAAAUGGCCCAAGCUUGGAAAGAUCUGGAUAAGCAGGACAGAAGGACCAACUCGAGGCUAACUGGAGAAUCAGCUAUAAGCCUGAGAGGAAGAGAAUGGGCCAAAGACACAACAAGAUGCUGAGGUCCAGGCAGGCCAAUGGUGGGGAAUGCUGCAGAGGCCAGUGGUGGCUGCCAACCAAAGCAUCAGCCAACAGCAGGGCCCAAGGUGGGGGGUGGGGGGAAGGGGGGCUAAAAGAACAAAGGAGGACUGGCUGUGUGUCAGGGACACAAUCCUUAGAACAAGGCUCUCUAUUUCAAGACCCUCACAGAAGAUUAUUUUCUGCUCUUAAUAUCUCAUACCCCUUAUUGCUAGGAAGGUCCUUCUGGAGCCUCAGUUAAAAUCAUGCUUCCAUUUAAACAUACACAUCAGGACCAAAGAUUUCCCAUUAGAAGAUUCCUAUAUUGAUGCUCUUUCUAGAGACCUCUCUGAAUAAAAAACUGCAUUCUGAUACUUACUGUGUGACCUUGGGCAAAACCUUUAUAAGCCGUACUUGAAGUGUAUGGAAUGACCACCUCUUCCUAAAGUCACAGGACUGCUGCGAAGUUACAGUUACCAGGUAGGCAGUGUUGUGAGUGCAAAUAUACCAUUUGUGUCUUUAUACCUCCUGCCUGCAUGUCUUCUG